UAAUAAGUGUUUUAUGGCACUUUUUAAAUCCAUAUCCACCUUGUGUGCAAUGUCAGUCGAUCUUCUUCAUGGAGAUCGACCAAACAUCAACCUUUAUCUUUUAACUCUUUGUCUGAAAAAUAUUAUGAAUAAACUAAUUCAAAAUA
rnacentral:misc_RNA from 1 species